UUGGGGUCUGGGGGUGCCCUGACCUUGCUUCUCCUCGAAGGCGGCCCACAGCAGGUGGAUGUUGGGCUUGCGGGGCAGGUGGAAGCCGCAGGCGCGCUGGAAAACGCUGCGGGCGCCCGGCACCGUGCGGGACUCCAGAGGGCGCAGGCGAUGAGGCAGCGCUCGAAGAGGACGAUGCUGCGCUCGUGCGAGCCCGCCGCCACCUCCCAGUCCAGAUUUGCUGCCUCAUGGAGAUCACGAGCUCCCGGAUCUUCUCCUGGUCCAGAUCCUCCUGCAGUGACAACAAAUAAUAAAUACAACCAUUUAUUACUGGUGUGGAUAAAUUGCAGGAGAAAAAGAAAUUGCAAUAAUAAAUUAAAACAGUAAAUAAAGCCAAAUAAUGAUAAAUAAAUCCAUUAAAAUAAAAACCCAGUUAAAACGAACCCCAUUAAAAUAAAUAAACCCAUUAAAAUAAAAGUCCAAUUAAAAUAAAUAAACCCACUAAAACAAAAAUCCCAUUAAAAUAAAUAAACCCAUGCUAAAACCCCCAAGGUGAAUAAACGUCAAUAAACACAAAAUACAGAUAGAAAAAUACCAAAAAAUAGAUUGAAAUAAGAUGUUAAGAAAUAAAUUCAUGG